CCUACGGGUGGCAGCAGUGAGGAAUAUUGGUCAAUGGACGAGAGUCUGAACCAGCCAAGUAGCGUGAAGGAUGACUGCCCUAUGGGUUGUAAACUUCUUUUAUAUGGGAAUAAAACGUUCCACGUGUGGGAUUUUGUAUGUACCAUAUGAAUAAGGAUCGGCUAACUCCGUGCCAGCAGCCGCGGUAAUACGGACGAUCCGAGCGUUAUCCGGAUUUAUUGGGUUUAAAGGGAGCGUAGGUGGAUUGUUAAGUCAGUUGUGAAAGUUUGCGGCUCAACCGUAAAAUUGCAGUUGAAACUGGCAGUCUUGAGUACAGUAGAGGUGGGCGGAAUUCGUGGUGUAGCGGUGAAAUGCUUAGAUAUCACGAAGAAAUCCGAUUGCGAAGGCAGUUCACUGGACUGCAACUGACACUGAGGCUCGAAAGUGUGGGUAUCAAACAGGAUUAGAUACCCGUGUAGUC
rnacentral:rRNA from 1 species